GCGCUUGUAGUCCAGCCUGGUAGGAUGUAGGCUUCCCAAGCCUGAGACCCGGGUUCAAAUCCCGGCGGGCGCA
rnacentral:tRNA from 1 species